AGAAUUCUACAUUCUUAUGUUUUUCUUCUUCUGGGUGUGUUUAUUUCACGAAAAACGUAAGAUUUUUGAAAAAUAUUUUCCGAAAAACUAUUUUCCAAAAAAUUAUUUUUUAGAAAAACGGUUAGUUUUCCUUUGUUUGGUGAUACGUGACCGAAAAUAUUUUUUGGUGUUUGAAUUGCAUUUGAAAAUUGAUUGAAGGUGUGUUCUACACCGACAAAGAGGAAGAGGAGGGAGCGAAGCCAACAAAAGCACAGGAGGGGCUAGGGUUGGAGAAGGUGGUGGUGAUGAAAGGGAGGGGGUGAAGGAGAAGGCGAGAGGGGAGGAGGAGUUAAUGUUCACAGACAAAGAAAGAAAAGAGAAAACAAGAAAAAAAAAAAAAGAAAGAAAAAAAAAGAUAUAAUAAUAACAAAUUCAUAUUUUAAGUUUUUAAAGGAAAAAAAACUUUUUGACUAGGAAAAUAUUUUCCGUUGACUUAUUUUCCUAAAUAAACCAAACGCUGGAAAAUAAGAAAAAAAAUUUCCUAAAUUUUUUUUUUCGCAUACACACCCUAAAUUUUAAAAAAUUACGUUCUUAUCUUGAAUAGAUGCUACAAAAUAACUGCCUUAAACUGUUUUUUCUUUUGAAUUAUGGGCUAUGGGCCCUUUUUGAGUUAUAGAUUGGAUUAGCCCAACAUGUGCGACCCAAUAACAAUAAACCCAUCAAAUUUUAACUUUUGAUUUUUAUUUCAAAUAUAUUUCUAGAGUAAAAAUUUAUUUCAAAAAUUAAAAAAUAAAGACCCAAUAACAAUAAACCCAUCAAAUUUUAACUUUUGAUUUUUAUUUCAAAUAUAUUUCUAGAGUAAAAAAUUUAUUUCAAAAAUUGAAAAAUGAAAUUACGUUAGCAAACGAAUUUUUAUUCCAAACUUGCUCCCGCCAAGAAAAAUAAAAUAGAGAAACAUAAUAAUUAUCACACAUCAUCCCUUAAAGGUUUCAAGGGCGAGGGCAUUGGUUUAGGAGAUCGGAGGUCCAUCCCCCCCUGAUGGGAGUAAACUUGCGGCGUACUGCCCCAUUAAUAAGAGGAAUCUGUGACCCGAAUUUAAGUAAAGGCUGCUGUGUAAGGACUUCCGAGCUUCAGCCAUUGCACCAGCUCGAGAGCCUCCCAUGAUGCGUCACUGGGAUGAAGAUGAUCAAAUAUGUUUUUACGUGAAAUGAAAAAAAGUACAGAUUUGAAUCAAAGCCCGUGCCUUUUCCCCUCGGCCAAAAGCCGAAAGAUAGCAAGAAGCAUAUAAAAAAUCAACUCUUCCAACAUAAAGAAGAAAUAAAGGGAUGCAAUACUGAUUCCAGAUGUGUGAUUUUCCAAGAGAAGCAAAAGGAAACGGACCAAGAACCAGCUUUAAGUACUAGAAGCUCACCAAAAUAGCAUCACUGUCAGUAGACCAGAUCAGAUAUUAACAAGACCAUUAUUCUGUACAAGAAGCCACUCCUGGGAGGAGUUUAUUUGCAUAGUUAUUAUUAAUAGCCAGCAUCACUGUUAGUAGACCAGAUCAGAUACUAACAAGAGGAUUAUUCUGUACAAGAAGCGACUCCUGGGAGGAGUUUAUUUGCAUACUUACUACUAUUCGCCUGCGAACAUCCUUGCUUCUUCAGUAGUUGACGCUCGACCUCUCAAGCAGUCUGAGCCCCUUCAGGUUUCUGCAGAUAAGAGAAAUUAUAAGUAUCUUAUGCACCAUAGAGCACUGUUGGCGAUGAAAACAGGGUUCGGGUUUGCAUCUUCCAAAUGGUUUGAAUUAUAUGAUUCCAUUUGAGUCAUCUACUAACUUACUGGACUUCAAGGUGUGGAUAGGGUAUGUGCAACAGUGCAAGUAAGUGUUCAAUCUGGUCAUGAGUCGGUCCGACUCGUGAUCAAACAACAAUCCAUCUCCUGAAUCCAAUUUGCAAACCGUUCUAUAUUUGCGACAAGAUAGCCAAAACUCACACCGACUGGAUGACCUAUAGAGACUCAUGAUGUGAAUUUGAUGUGGGUCUAGACUCGAUUCUAACAAGGACCUCCAACUUUGAGACCAAGAAGCCGAUACAGAUGAAUAUCAGCAGCUUCAGGCCUAUCAACAUCAAGUAGCCAACAGAAAGAGAACGCAAUCUUAUAUUUCACUAGACUGACCACAAAAUAUUGCAUCUCAAUCCCACCGGACAUGCGGCCAAAACCCAGGUUGAAUAUAAUGGACAAUUCCUAUCGACUCUCUCUCUCUCUCUCUCUCUCUCUCUCUCUUCUUUUUUUAACUUUGUUUCUUCAUUUUUGCUCGUGUCUUAGAACAGAAGGGCGCCAAGGAUGUUGAGACAUGUUACCUGCUCAGCAGCCUCUUUCUCCUUCUCCGCCUUCUCUUUCUCCGCCUUCCUCCUCUGCUUCUCCAACCUCUCCCUCUCCAUUUUCUUCAGACAUCAACAAUAACAACAGCAAGAAAUUCAUCAGAGCCAGAGCCAGAUCAACACGCAUGUCGGGCGGCAAAAAAAAAGAAAGGAUUUUGCAUUCAAGAAGGGAAAUCGCUGGACGACCCACGAUCCAAAUGCUAGCGGCGGAAUCAUUCGUCGACCGCAACCGGCGCCAACUCAAGCUGGAGAUACAGAGGAGUAGGAAAAAGGACCUGGAUGUAGACGUUCUCAGCAGCGCGUUCCUCCUCGCUCAGGAUCCUUCCCUGGCCGGAGCUCAUGUGCCGAGCCGCUCCUCGCGAUGAGUCCAUGAACCGAGUCAAG
rnacentral:lncRNA from 1 species